rnacentral:rRNA from 1 species
AUUGAACGCUGGCGGCAGGCUUAACACAUGCAAGUCGAGCGAGCGGCGGACGGGUGAGUAAUGUCUGGGAAACUGCCUGAUGGAGGGGGAUAACUACUGGAAACGGUAGCUAAUCCCGCAUACCAUCAGAUUUGCCCAGAUGGGAUUAGCUAGUAGGUGGGGUAAUGGCUCACCUAGGCAACGAUCCCUAGCUGGUCUGAGAGGAUGACCAGCCAAACUGGAACUGAGACACGGUCCAGACUCCUACGGGAGCCAGCAGUGGGGAAUGUUGCACAAUGGGCGCAAGCCAGAUGCAGCAAUGCGGCGUGUGGGAAGAAGGCGUUAGGGUUGUAAAGCACGUUCAGCGAGGAGGCGUUACUCACAGAAGAAGCACCGGCUAACUCCGUGCCAGCAGCCGCGGUAAUUC